GUGGUAAGUUCCAGUUAUUGUUUUAUGCCUGGGAUACACCACUGAACACAACAAUCCAAUGGCCCCACCCUUGUAGAAUGUGGAACAUACAUCACCACAGGGAGAGGCGAAGAGUAAACAGUCAACAAAACAUACAAGGAAAUUAUGUUUUAAAAGUAUGUUAGAAGUUGAAGAGUGCUAUAGAAAAAGGGAGGGGAGCCUAGAAAGGGGACUGCAGGAGCCAGGGUGAGAGGACAGGCAGCAGCUUUAACUAGGAUGCCAAGGUAAUCUCACUGAGACCGUGGAAUUCAAGAAAGUAAAUGAAGGAGGACAAACCAUAUGGAUAUUUUGGAGAAUAGUGUAGACAGAGCACCCAGUGCUCUCAGCAAGAAAGCUGGUGUGGCUAGAGAGAAAUGAAGAAGGAGAGCAGCAGGAGAGCCAGAGGGCUAAGAAGGAGUCUGGAUCAUGCAGCACCUGAUUAUAAUUUCCACAUGGUGAGGCACCCCUUCUGCCGUGUUUUGCCCUAUUCCCGGAGCCUAGGACACAGCCUUUAUGGAGUGUAGCCUGAUAAUGUAGUUACUGAAUGAAACAAAUCUUCCUGGCACACGUUCUUCACCCCUGAAAACAACAUGGAUGAUGAGUGCAGACUGCAAAACAGCUCACUGGCAAUUGCUCUCAAUUCACUCAAACCCUGCGAAGACUGAUGCCUUGUCAUGAAGACAUAAGGAUCUGAAAUAAAGUGGCACUUUGGAGCUAACCAUGGGUCUUUCUCAUCAUUCUCAUUUCAUGCUGAGCAGCUUCUGGCCUAUUAAAAGCAGAUGAGAAGUUCACCAGUGCUCUAUCAUCUUCUUGGUGACCUACUGGCACCAACUACAGCAGAUCCACUGUGCAUCCAUGAGGCUAGGUACCAUGAAAGUUUUGACCAGAAGGAGCCACCACCAUACUCUUAAAACACAUCCAGAAACUCACCUUUUAUUUUCAAUGCUUGUAUUCUUGUUUUCAGGAUUUUCAUGUGUCUAAAUAUUUCUGUUCAGAAAUUCUUCAAAAUUAUCUAGUACCUCAAAUAAACAGUUAGCAAUAACUAGU
rnacentral:lncRNA from 10 species